ACCUCUGAGAGCUGUUAAUCAUCUUGCAGCACUCCCAGUGCUGCCGCUUCCAUUGCUGUCUGGUUCAGCGUCCGGUGCUGUCCGUCCCGACCUCCAGACUGUGGCUGGGCUGCUGCGGCGUCAUCUCCGUGGCCUCCUCGGAGUACCUCCAGCUGUGGUGCCAUCUCUCUAGUUUCAACACAUGCAGUUGUUCCCAGACUCAGUGUUGCUAGAGAAUGAGGCAGAAGAGCUUGCCAUUUUCAAGACACAAGUUGGAAGCCACACAGCCACCAAUGUGCUCACCAAAGCCCCUGGGCUUCACUGGAGGAGGAUAGAGACCCCCCACUUGACCAUGAGUAUGUCUUGGAAUUUCUCCAGGAGACCCACACAUUUCUACUUUUAUCAGGUCUCCAGCUGGGAAGAAAUGUUCCAUCAAUGGAUGUGAAUCCUGUGAACGGAUGUCACUGGUCCCAAGUCAACAUCAAAGCUGGGCCCAUUCUGCUUAAACUUGCCAUGACCAUUUCCAGCUCCUGUCCCUGAGGUGUGCAUAAUUACACCAUUGCCUUUCUCCUAAGAACCUACACCCUGAAGUUCUCCUAUUCACUCAGUGUGAGCCUGACCUUUAUUUCCACAGUACAAGGCUUAGGUCACAGGCAUGUUGGGCAGGGGAGAAGAGGCGUGGGGGGUGAGAAAGGAGGUAUUUAUUGCAGUCCUAACAGAAUUAGGGGGCUGAA